ACGCUAGCUACAGGCUUAACACAUGCAAGUCGAGGGGAAACGGCAUUAAGUGCUUGCACUUUUUGGACGUCGACCGGCGCACGGGUGAGUAACGCGUAUCCAACCUUCCCAUGACUAAGGGAUAACCUGCCGAAAGGCAGACUAAUACCUUAUGGUCUUCACUGACGGCAUCAGAUGUGAAGUAAAGAUUUAUCGGUUAUGGAUGGGGAUGCGUUUGAUUAGCUUGUUGGCGGGGUAACGGCCCACCAAGGCAACGAUCAGUAGGGGUUCUGAGAGGAAGGUCCCCCACAUUGGAACUGAGACACGGUCCAAACUCCUACGGGAGGCAGCAGUGAGGAAUAUUGGUCAGUGGGCGAGAGCCUGAACCAGCCAAGUAGCGUGCAGGAUGACGGCCCUAUGGGUUGUAAACUGCUUUUGUAUGGGGAUAAAGUCAAUCACGUGUGAUUGUUUGCAGGUACCAUACGAAUAAGGACCGGCUAAUUCCGUGCCAGCAGCCGCGGUAAUACGGAAGGUCCGGGCGUUAUCCGGAUUUAUUGGGUUUAAAGGGAGCGUAGGCUGGAGAUUAAGUGUGUUGUGAAAUGUAGACGCUCAACGUCUGACUUGCAGCGCAUACUGGUUUCCUUGAGUACGCACAACGUUGGCGGAAUUCGUCGUGUAGCGGUGAAAUGCUUAGAUAUGACGAAGAACUCCGAUUGCGAAGGCAGCUGACGGGAGCGCAACUGACGCUGAAGCUCGAAGGUGCGGGUAUCGAACAGGAUUAGAUACCCUGGUAGUCCGCACAGUAAACGAUGGAUGCCCGCUGUUGGUACCUGGUAUCAGCGGCUAAGCGAAAGCAUUAAGCAUCCCACCUGGGGAGUACGCCGGCAACGGUGAAACUCAAAGGAAUUGACGGGGGCCCGCACAAGCGG
rnacentral:rRNA from 1 species